GCAUAACUCAUUUAAGAGAAUCAAAUUUCAGCAGUUUGGAGUCAUUUGUACCCAAAAUGAAUGCAAAAAUAAAAUUCAAAACUCCAAAAUUAGUAAAGGUGGCAUUGUUGGAAAUUUGCUGACGUAACAGGAGUGAUGAUGUGGCACUAAUAUGUCAGGUGACGUGGCAGUGUUGGCAAGUGUUGUGGUGUAGAAGUGGCAAGCUAAUGUGGCAAGGUAGUAGUAGAUCAAGUGCAAAAAGCUCAUCGUAAGGCUGGUGAACUUGUCUUCUUACCCAAUGGGUUAUUUGACCUGACCCGUCGGUUUCUUGCUAUAGGUCUCCGAAUUAGAUUCCAAUGGCAAAAAACAGUAGGUUGGCUGAUGGCAAGUGGGUGGGAUGGCAAGAGGGUGGUGGGUCCUGGUGAAAGGGGAGGGCGAUGCCACUGGUGCUUUGUUUCUU
rnacentral:misc_RNA from 1 species